CCUACGGGUGGCAGCAGUGGGGGAUAUUGCACAAUGGGGGCAACCCUGAUGCAGCGACGCCGCGUGAGUGAAGAAGUACUUCGGUAUGUAAAGCUCUAUCAGCAGGGAAGAAAAAAGACGGUACCUGACUAAUAAGCCCCGGCUAACUACGUGCCAGCAACCGCGGUCAUACGAAGGGGGCAAGCGUCAUCCGGAUUUACUGGGUGUAAAGGGUGCGUAGGCGGCAAUACAAGUCGGAAGUGAAAUACCCGGGCUCAACCUGGGAACCGCUUUGGAAACUGUAUGACUGGAGUGCUGGAGAGGUAAGCGGAAUUCCUAGUGUAGCGGUGAAAUGCGUAGAUAUUAGGAGGAACACCAGAGGCGAAGGCAGCUUACUGGACAGAAACUGACGUUGAGGGUCGAAAGCGUGGGGAGCAAACAGGAUUAGAUACCCUUGUAGUC
rnacentral:rRNA from 1 species